rfam:Setosphaeria turcica Et28A unplaced genomic scaffold SETTTscaffold_8, whole genome shotgun sequence.
GGCCGAAUAGUGUAGAGGCUUAUCACGUCAGUCUUACACACUGAAGGUCCAGGGUUCGAUUCCCUGUUCGGUCA